rnacentral:tRNA from 1 species
CGCGCGGUAGAGCAGCCCGGUCAGCUCACCGGAACCCAUCCUCCGGAGACCGCCGGUUCAAAUCCGGCCCGCGCAA